rnacentral:tRNA from 1 species
CAAAAUGUAGCUAAAAAGAAAAGCACCUCCCUUACACCGAGGGCACAUCCGUGCAAAUCGGAUCAUUUUGA